rnacentral:rRNA from 1 species
CAGGUCACUCCUACGGGAGGCAGCAGUGGGGAAUAUUGCGCAAUGGGCGAAAGCCUGACGCAGCAACGCCGCGUGAGUGAUGAAGGCCUUUGGGUCGUAAAGCUCUUUUUUGGGGGACGAUGCUGACGGUACUCCAAGAAUAAGCACCGGCCAACUCUGUGCCAGCAGCCGCGGUAAUACAGAGGGUGCGAGCGUUGUCCGGAAUCACUGGGCGUAAAGGGCGCGUAGGCGGCCCGUUAAGUGGCUGGUGAAAUCCCGCGGCUCAACUGCGGGGCUGCCGGUCAGACUGGCGAGCUAGAGCACGGUAGGGGCAGAUGGAAUUCCCGGUGUAGCGGUGGAAUGCGUAGAGAUCGGGAAGAAUACCAGUGGCGAAGGCGUUCUGCUGGGCCGUUGCUGACGCUGAGGCGCGACAGCGUGGGGAGCAAACAGGAUUAGAUACCCCGGUAGUCCUAGCUGUAAACGGUGAUCACUAGGUGUUGGAGGCAUAGACCCCUCCAGUGCCGCAGCUAACGCAUUAAGUGAUCCGCCUG